rnacentral:rRNA from 1 species
CAGUCGCCGCGGUAAUACGUAGGUCCCGAGCGUUGUCCGGAUUUAUUGGGCGUAAAGCGAGCGCAGGCGGUUAGAUAAGUCUGAAGUUAAAGGCUGUGGCUUAACCAUAGUACGCUUUGGAAACUGUUUAACUUGAAUGCAGGAGGGGAGAGUGGAAUUCCAUGUGUAGCGGUGAAAUGCGUAGAUAUAUGGAGGUACACCGGUGGCGAAAGCGGCUCUCUGGUCUGUAACUGACGCUGAGGCUCGAAAGCGUGGGGAGCAAACAGGAUUAGAUACCCCGGUAGUCCCUGUCUCUUAUACC